rnacentral:lncRNA from 1 species
GAGACAAUUUCACUUCGCUCUGUCUGACAGUGACACUGAUGGGGAGGUGAAAUGAGUUCCCACUACUGAAUCCUUCUCAGGAAAUGGCACUAUUCAUUUUAAAGGACAGCACAUUGUGUUCUCUGGAACAGGGACUGUCUGGAUCAGGAAUGCUGUGUCUCCUGCUGGGAGGAGACUGAAAUAUGCCUAUGGAGGAGGAGACAUUGGCACAUUCUGUUCAGCUCUUGCCCAAGAAGAGAAAUGGAUCACCUCAGAAACCUGAGGGCUUGGAGGUUGUUGUUGUUUUUGAAGGUAAUAGAAGAAAUGGAAGAAGUUUACUGAACACAGAGAUAGAUGAAUGCAUUAUAACAGGGCUUAAAGCCUAUGCUGACAGUGCUAGAAACCAGAUGCUAUGGGUCCAUGCGUGGAGCGGCCAUCACAGAGCAGCAAAUGUUGAAUUGCGCAUAUUGGUUCAUCUGUGGUGAUUUGUUUGCUUGCACUGCCUGUAAGAAUAUGAAACCGUUCAUCUGGUUUUCACAACAGAGUUUUACAUCUGCGUGUCUCAUCAGGAAGACACUAAUUUAGUAUGAAAAGAUGCUAUUCAGCUCCUGCUCACAUCCUAUGGGAAAAUCUGCACCUAACAAAGGAGACAUUUUGAUAGCUUGGCUUUGCUUGCUUUCUUUUUGGCCUGUAGUAUUUUGUGCUUGAAUAUGUGUAAGUAUAAUUGCAUAUUUGCUACUCGCAAGGAUUCCAGAUUAUAUUGCUAUUUUAUAUGUUCCUUCUCCUUGCUUUUCCUCUUAGAAAACCACCUUGCGUUGUGUCAGUAACUACCUGUUGUUGGUUCCAGGGCAUG